rnacentral:lncRNA from 1 species
ACUAAAGGCAAUUUAUUAGUUAGUUAAUUGUGAUUGAUUGCUGACCCAAUUAAAUAGUAAUUAAAUAUUAAUAAUGAUUAAAUUACAAUUAAAGUAGUGUUAUGAUCGUUGAAUUUAAUUUAGUGCAUCAUGGGACCUAAAAAGAAAACAAAUCUAUUUUAUGGUAAAGCUAAAUCUUAUUUAGUUUGUAAUUUUCCAAUACCAGCUCAUUUAAAUAUGGGCUGUAGAAAUGGACAUGUACUGCAUAUAUUGGCAACUAACAAUGAUUCAUACCAAGUAACUGUAGAACUAAUCAGUAAGUAUUUUAACAUCAACAUUUUUCCCAAUCAGAUUCUGCAAUUAGUUAAAAAAUCAAAAGUCUUUGUAAAAGGUUUUUCACGAAAUUCAAAACAAUUUAUUGACAUCUGCAACAUGCUCUUUGAAUACCAACCAACAACAUCUGCUGUGACUCAAACAUCACAGUUAAUCACAACCUCUAAUCACAUAGCUACGUGUUCUUCAUUUUUUUCUCAGCAAAUCGCUGUUUCGUCUCUAUCAAAUAGUGACUCUUCUCAAGAAUCAUUAUCUAGGUUGAGAGCUGACCUGGUUAGUCCCAGGAAAAAGAUUAUGAGAAAGAGAUUAACCAUUUUGGAAAAUCGCAAUUAAAAAGAGAAAACAUAAAGAAGAUCUUAAAGGUUUAAGAGAAAAGGCAAAGGCUAGACCAUACAGAUUAAAAUAUCUAAAUCAAGUUAUUGCUUGUAAGGAAAAGAUAAUUCAUCAACUUAGAAAAAAAUUAAAAGAACAUUUUUUAAAUAUACAGUUAAAAAAACUUCAAAAUCAAAUUUUUUAUUUGAAACUUUCUUCGAAACUUCGUGCUUGCAAAAAUAAAACAACUGCUCUGCUUUGUAAAAAGCCAACUGAUAUUCAAAACAAGUUGAUAUUAUGGGCUAUCUCUAAUGCCAGGAAAAAUCGAUUUACAAGUAUGCAAUGUCAUAAUGAACUGAAGUUAGAACUGCUAAAACGAAUAGCGGAUAAAAUUCAGAAAAGGGAGGACAAAGACCGCAGAAAGGUAGAAAAAAUAUUAAAAAGUUGCAUGCCCGAUCAGGUAAAAGAAAUGUUUCCUGACCUAGAAAAUAACGAGGCCUCAGAUAUUGAAGAAAUUCUUAUUGGAGCUGCUAUUGGAAGAAGUAUUUGCCACAUGAGGUUCGAUAAUGCCAAUAACACCCAUGAGGUAUAUUACGGCAGAAUUGUUUGCAUUAAAAAGAAGAACAAUGAUAUAUAUAUAUAUAUAGUUUCUUAUUGGAAACCAAAAGAAAAUGAAGAUGAUGACGGUGUUGAGUAUGAUAUGAGCAAAUAUCAACUUUCUGCAGACAUAAUAAGCGGUGAUAUGGUGAUAACAUAACAGAAUUGUGUAAUAAUAAGGUAGUCGGGUAGUUACCGACAUCCAACAACCAGGGUUGACCUGGUUGCAACGUGCUAUGGGAAACCAAAGCUCAUUUACUUUUUGACAUAAGCAAAUUGCUUGGCUUAUGACAAUUAAUGUUUAUCAUUGAUGUUUAUCAUUAUCAAUGAUGGCAAUGCAUUUUUCUAUCAAGUAUAACAGAGUUUCGCUUGCGUGGAUUGAGAGAUGUUAAACAGUAUUGAAGGGUCGGCUAUCGAUUUUUUUGUUUGGUAAUGGGAUGUUUGUUGUGUAUCAGGAGUUAAGUGAUUUUGAAUUUUUUAACUUUAUAAAUCAUUCUCAUAUUUAGUAAUCUCUAAUGGGUUUUUCAGUUAUGGUGCUAAAUAUCUAAUGCAUUUUCAUUUAUUUUUAUUGCAAGGUUUUAACAAUAAUGGCAAUUUGCUACUGUGGAUAUUUAUGUUAAAGACCUCAAGAUUAUAUUUAUUAAUUCAGUUAAACAACAUGAUGAAAACUACAUGGUUGCUUCAGUGGAUGUUGAUCUUUUUCAUAUCAAGAUUAAACCGAUAUUAUUGGAUGUGGUUUCCUUUGCGUACUAAAGAAUCGACUCUUUCUAUCUAUGGAUGUCACAGUUUUGUUUGCUUCAAAUUCUAGGCUUUUUUCAAAGCCACAAUUCUGUUAAAAACAUUACUGAGCAAAAAAGAAUUUUUUUUGUUAAA